AUACUUACCUGAUGGGGCAAGACCAUGAUUAAGAAGGUGGUUCACCCAGGGCGAGGCUCAGCCAUUGCACUCCGGUUGUGCUGACCCCUGAGAAUUCCACUAUCAAAAAUUAAGAAUAAUAAUAAUAAUAAUAAUAGUAAUAAUAAUAAUAUUUUCCUUUG